AUGGACAGUGAGAAUUCGGAGCCACUGGUUAUGCCGCUCAAUUUAUUACGAGAAAUUACAGAUGGUUUCUCCGAGGAGCGGAAGCUUGGUAGCGGUUCGUAUGGAAAAGUUUACUUGGGGAUGCAUCCAAAUGGGGAAAAUAUUGCUGUGAAGAUGCUCUAUGAUAUGCCGGGACUUGACGAUGAGCAAUUUCAGAAUGAGUUUAAAAAUCUUACAAGGCUCCGACACCAAAAUAUUGUGCGGUUAGUUGGCUAUUGCCAUGAUAUUCAGGAAGUACAAGUACAGCAUGAAGGAAAAUUAGUUCUUGCUGAAAAGACGCAUAGGGCGCUUUGCUUGGAGUAUAUGUCUAAUGGAAGCCUUGAAAAGUAUAUUUCUGAUGAAUGUGAUAGAUAUAAUUGGCUGGAAGGCUAUCGAAUGAUCAAGGGGAUUUGCCAGGGUUUAAAUUACCUCCACAAUGAAUUAAACCCUCCUAUUUAUCAUUUGGAUUUAAAGCCAGCCAAUGUUUUGCUAGACAAGAAUAUGGUUCCCAGAAUUGCAGAUUUUGGGAUGUCAAGGCUCUUUGGAGAUGAACAGACACGAGCUACACAAAGUUUAUUAGGAACAAUUGGGUACUUACCGCCAGAAUACAUAAAAAAAAAUUUAGUCUCAAGUAAGUUCGACAUAUUCAGCUUGGGUGUUGUAAUUAUAAAGAUAAUGGCAGGACGCACUGGCUACUUCAAUAGCGCUGAUAUGUCUUCACAGGAAUUCACUAAGCUUGUGCAGGAAAACUGGACUAAUAGACUACUUGAAACAUCAAAUCGGAGGAAUGCAUAUUCUGAGCAAGUAAAGAUAUGCAUUGAAAUUGGUUUAAGUUGCGUGCAGGAAGAUCGACACAAAAGGCCAACUAUACAGGAUAUCGUCGAUAGACUGAAUGAGACAGAAACUAAAUGUACUUCCGCGGCAAGAAAGGACUGGCUGUUGAUUUUUCAGGAGGCGAAUAGGAACACUUUUCCUCAGUAUGCUCAAGAUCGGAAUGAUCGACACGCUCAGCAAACAUACCAUGGAUCCACCUUUAAUCAGUAUGCUCAGGACAUAUCAGCUACUACUCACUCUAAUUGUGUUGAAGAAAAUGCUGGUCCUGGAGAAGUAAGAUUGGGUGAUGACUCGCAGUUCUUUAGUAAGCUAAGGCACUUAGCUGAUGGCGAUCCAUUACCUGGUAUUGAGAGAUUUCAAAUUACUGGGCAUCCUAGACUAGGCUUUACUUUAACAGCAUGUGGUUUCCCUACAAAUGGUACUACACGUGGUUAUUUCCAGUGGGUUCGCUAUCUUGAAGAUGGCACCAGGCGACCUAUUGAAGGUGCUACGAGGCAUGACUAUGUGGUUACUGCAGAUGAUGUUGGCACGCUUCUAGCUGUAGACUACACUCCUGUGGAUGACAAUUACCUUCAGGGUGAUUUGGUGAUGCAGUUUGCUAACACUGAGAGCAAGAUAACCUGUGAUCCAGGUAUGCAGAAUGACAUCAAUAUAUUUAUUUCGAGGGGGAGAGCGAACUUUGUUGUUUUUGUCCUGCUUGGGUGUUAUCCUGAUGAAUGGAAAAAGGCCACGUUAGUGCUUACACGAACUGGAUAUCAAAUUAACUUCAGCCAUAAGGAUGAAGCCGUAAUUGAUGAAAAUUAUUCACGAAGUCUACAGACAGAAAUUCCCAUUGGACAAACUACCCAGUUUGUUUUAGUAACUUCCCACUGGGGUUCAAAUGUACAAUUUAGUACACAAGGAAUAACUGGGCCCAAUAAUGAGGAUAACGAUGUUAGGCUGCGCGACAUAAUUGUAUUGGUCAUGAGAACUUUCCAGAAUAUGCUUCUCAAUCCCGAUGGAGAAAACCCAGGCCCACUGAUCGUGGGAGGAGACCAGCCAAUGCAUGAAGCGCCGGUUACCAGGGACUUCUUUAUCACCAAGGCCUACCCUAUUUUGCCACCCAGACGCGACUGCAUAGUGUUACAAUAUUGGUACCAUGGAGUAGAACAUUCUAAACCACCAUAA
rnacentral:rRNA from 1 species